rnacentral:rRNA from 1 species
CGAGCGCUCUCUUCGGAGGGAGCGGCGGACGGGUUAGUAACGCGUGGGAACGUACCCAGAUCUAAGGAAUAGCCACUGGAAACGGUGAGUAAUACCUUAUACGCCCUUCGGGGGAAAGAUUUAUCGGAUUUGGAUCGGCCCGCGUUAGAUUAGAUAGUUGGUGGGGUAAUGGCCUACCAAGUCUACGAUCUAUAGCUGGUUUUAGAGGAUGAUCAGCAACACUGGGACUGAGACACGGCCCAG